CUCUACAGACAUACCACCCUGAAUGCACCUGAUCUCCUCUGAUCUUGGAAGCUAAGCAGGGUUGGGCCUGGUUAGUGC
rnacentral:rRNA from 1 species